CCUACGGGAGGCUGCAGUGGGGAAUAUUGGGCAAUGGGCGCAAGCCUGACCCAGCAACGCCGCGUGAAGGAAGAAGGCUUUCGGGUUGUAAACUUCUUUUUUUAGGGACGAAGAAAGUGACGGUACCUCAGGAAUAAGCCACGGCUAACUACGUGCCAGCAGCCGCGCUAAAACGUAGGUGGCAAUCGUUAUCCGGAUUUAUUGGUUGUAAAGGGUGUGUAGGCUGGAAAGCCAGUCAGAGGUGAAAACUGAGGGCUCAACCCUGAGCCUGCAUUUGAAACUGUUUUACUUGAGUGCUGGAGAGGCAAUCGGAAUUCCGGGUGUAGCGGUGAAAUGCGUAGAUAUAAGGAGGAACACCAGUGGCGAAGGCGGAUUGCUGGACAGUAACUGACGCUGAGGCGCGAAAGCGUGGGGAGCAAACAGGAUUAGAUACCCGGGUAGUC
rnacentral:rRNA from 1 species